UACGUAGGUGACAAGCGUUGUCCGGAUUUACUGGGCGUAAAGAGCGCGCAGGCGGUCGUUCAAGUCGAGUGUGAAAGCCCCCGGCUCAACUGGGGAGGGUCACUCGAUACUGAUCGACUUGAAGGCAGGAGAGGGAAGCGGAAUUCCCGGUGUAGUGGUGAAAUGCGUAGAUAUCGGGAGGAACACCAGUGGCGAAGGCGGCUUCCUGGCCUGCUCUUGACGCUGAGGCGCGAAAGCUGGGGGAGCAAACGGG
rnacentral:rRNA from 1 species